rnacentral:rRNA from 1 species
UACGUAGGGUGCGAGCGUUAAUCGGAAUUACUGGGCGUAAAGCGUGCGCAGGCGGUUUUAUAAGUCAGAUGUGAAAUCCCCGGGCUCAACCUGGGACCUGCAUUUGCUACUGUAUAGCUUGAAUACGGUAGAGGGGGGUGGAAUUUCGCGUGUAGCAGUGAAAUGCGUAGAUAUGUGGAGGAACACCGAUGGCGAAGGCAAUCCCCUGGACCUGUACUGACGCUCAUGCACGAAAGCGUGGGGAGCAAACAGGAUUAGAUACCCUGGUAGUCCACGCCCUAAACGAUGUCAACUGGUUGUUGGGUCUUCACUGACUCAGUAACGAAGCUAACGCGUGAAGUUGACCGCCUGGGGAGUACGGCCGCAAGGUUG